rnacentral:rRNA from 1 species
AUGGCUCAGGAUGAACGCUAGCUACAGGCUUAACACAUGCAAGUCGAGGGGCAGCAGGACGAUAGCUUGCUAUGUUGCUGGCGACCGGCGCACGGGUGAGUAACGCGUAUCCAACCUUCCCCUUAGUAGGGCAUAGCCCGGUGAAAAUCGGAUUAAUACCCUAUGUUGUGUCAUGAGGACAUCUGAAUAACACUAAAGAUUUAUCGCUAAGGGAUGGGGAUGGCGUCCGAUUAGGUAGUCGGCGGGGUAACGGCCCACCGAGCCCUCGAUCGGUAGGGGUUCUGAGAGGAAGGUCCCCCACACUGGUACUGAGACACGGACCAGACUCCUACGGGAGGCAGCAGUGAGGAAUAUUGGUCAAUGGGCGUAAGCCUGAACCAGCCAAGUAGCGUGCAGGAUGACGGCCCUAUGGGUUGUAAACUGCUUUUAUACGGGGAUAAAGUGAGGGACGUGUCCCUUAUUGUAGGUACCGUAUGAAUAAGGACCGGCUAAUUCCGUGCCAGCAGCUGC